CCCUUAGAUGUUCUGGGCUGCACGCGUGUUACAAUCGGGAGUACAACAAGAUUGCAAAUCCUAGUGGAUGAGUGGUUCUUCGAAAUUUUCUGAAGACUGGGAUAGUUGAUUGAAAUUAUUCAACUCGAACGAGGAAUUCCUUGUAAUUGUAAUUCAUUAUAUUGUAAUGAAUACGUCUCUGCCCUUUGUACACACUGCCCGUCGCUCCUACCGAUUGAACGAUCCGGUGAAUUAUUUGGAGUAGCUCUGGAAGUUGCAGAACUUCCUAUGUCACGAAAUUUUGUAAACCUUAUCGUUUAGAGGAAGGAAAAGUCGUAACA
rnacentral:rRNA from 1 species